rnacentral:rRNA from 1 species
GACGAACGCUGGCGGCGUGCUUAACACAUGCAAGUCGAACGGGAAGGCCCUGCUUUUGUGGGGUGCUCGAGUGGCGAACGGGUGAGUAACACGUGAGUAACCUGCCCUUGACUUUGGGAUAACUUCAGGAAACUGGGGCUAAUACCGGAUAGGAGCUCCUGCUGCAUGGUGGGGGUUGGAAAGUUUCGGCGGUUGGGGAUGGACUCGCGGCUUAUCAGCUUGUUGGUGGGGUAGUGGCUUACCAAGGCUUUGACGGGUAGCCGGCCUGAGAGGGUGACCGGCCACAUUGGGACUGAGAUACGGCCCAGACUCCUACGGGAGGCAGCAGUGGGGAAUAUUGCACAAUGGGCGGAAGCCUGGUGCAGCAACGCCGCGUGCGGGAUGACGGCCUUCGGGUUGUAAACCGCUUUCGCCUGCGACGAAGCGUGAGUGACGGUAAUGGGUAAAGAAGCACCGGCUAACUACGUG